rfam:Streptomyces atratus strain OK807 genome assembly, contig: Ga0007934_1042
UACGCGGUCUGACAGAAUGGCCUCCGAAAACUCAGGCGACGCGCGUCAGGAAACCGGUGUGAAUCCGGUACGGUCCCGCCACUGUGACCGGGCUGCAGCAGCCCGGAAGCCAGAUACUGGCCGCGCCGCCUUCUCGUAC